GGUCCUCAUUGGCUCAACUGGGAGAGCAUGGCAUUAACAUCGCCAGGGUCAGGGGUUCAAUUCCUACUGGGACCA